rnacentral:rRNA from 1 species
AUGCCACAAUUUACUGAAAGACAGAACCUAGCAGCUACUUCUGAAUUUGAGUAUACAUCUGCAGAUCAUGUUGAAAUUGGAACAAGUGCCAAUGAAGUAUUACAUGAAAAUUUAAAAGGAGAAGAAGGUGAUGAUGAAAGUGACAUUGACUACCAGCCUUUGUCAGAGCACAGUUCUGCUAAAGAAUCAGAGGCAGAGCAAGUAAGGAAAUUAGCAAGGGAAAUUAGGAGGCAGAAGAAUCAGAGGCACAGUUCUGACAUUGAUUCAGUUGAUAACAACAUGUGUGAAUCUUUCAACAACUACAUCCUGUUAGCUAGGUACCUUGCUAUUGUCUCAAUGCUUGAGUGGAUCAGGUGCAAAAUUAUGGUGAGGGUACAAGAAAAUAGAGGCAAGUCAGUUAACUGGAAAGGAACUAUAUGUCCCAACAUUUUCAAAAAAACUAAAGCAAAACAUAAGGAGAUCAGGUUUCUGCCAUGUGUUGUGGAAUGGGAAAGAUGGAUUUGA